GUGGUGCUUGCUUGAGACCAUAGAUUGAUUUUCUUAGGCGGCAAACAUGAUGUUGUUUUUCUGGGUGAAUGAAGCCAGGAGGUUGUUGCAUAUAAACCUCUUCACUCAAGAAGCCAUGGAGAAAUGCAUUAUUGACAUCUAGUUGACGGAGUGGCCAAUUAUGUUGCAGGGCUAAAGAAAGAACUAGUCUUAUCGUUGUUGGCUUGACAACAGGGCUGAAUGUUUGUGUGUAAUCUAGUCCUGGUCUUUGAUGAAAGCCUUUGGCCACGAGUCUAGCCUUGUACCUGUCAAUAUCACCAUUGGGUUUUCUUUUGAUUCUGUAAACCCAUUUGCACCCUAUAAGAUUUGUAGCUUGAGGUUGAGGUACCAACUCCCAUGUGCCUUGUUGGAUUAAAGCAUC
rnacentral:lncRNA from 1 species